rnacentral:lncRNA from 13 species
AUGUUAUUGAUGGUAUUUGUCUGUUUGCACGUUUUUGUCUGUCUUCUAUUCCAAACAGUAUAUUCCCCUGUGCAGGGGCCACUUGUUUACUGCCGUAUCUCCAACACGUGCAUGGUGCCCAGCAUGCGGGACAUGGAUGAAUCUGGAGAACGUCAUUCUCAGCAAACUGACACAAGAACAGAAAAUGAAACACCGCAUAUUCUCACUCAUAGGCUGGAGUGUAAUGGCGCAAUCUUGGCUCACCUCAACCUCUGCCUCCCAGAUUCAAGCAAUUCUCCUGCCUCAACCUCCCGAGAAGCUGGGAUUACAGGUAUUCACCACCAUACCUGGCUAAUUUUGUAUUUUUAG